rnacentral:rRNA from 1 species
UACAGAGGUCCCAAGCGUUGUUCGGAUUCAUUGGGCGUAAAGGGUGCGUAGGUGGCGUCGUAAGUCGGGUGUGAAAUCUCGGGGCUUAACUCCGAAACUGCAUUCGAUACUGCGGUGCUUGAGGACUGGAGAGGAGACUGGAAUUUACGGUGUAGCAGUGAAAUGCGUAGAGAUCGUUAAGGAAGACCAGUGGCGAAGGCGGGUCUCUGGACAGUUCCUGACACUGAGGCACGAAGGCCAGGGGAGCAAACGGG